UCUCUCUGCAACUAAGUCGGGUCAGGCCUGUUUAGGACUUAGAUGAGAGAGCACCUGGGAAUACCAGGUGCUGGAAGCU
rnacentral:rRNA from 1 species